ensembl:snRNA LOC120103374 U4 spliceosomal RNA
AGCUUUGCGCAGUGGCAGUAUCGUAGCCAAUGAGGUUUAUCCGAGGCGCGAUUAUUGCUAAUAGAAAUGUUUCCGUGGGGUGAUUCUGUUCUUCACUGUCAGGAUACCAGCAGUCCUGCUCUAUAGCA